AUUUCACGUGAAAACGGCCGAAAACUGAGAGGUUAUCAACAAAUUAUAAAGUUACGGGUACCAUGAGAAUUUUUCAUGCAUUUAAACAACAGAAGAACAAGCGAACAAAUUGACACAUUACAGUGGCUGCAGAAGCUUGAAAAGUUACAUAGAGCAGGGACAGUCAAACCAAAGGGAUAAUGCUUCUAUGUUAUUUCUUUUGAAAAGGAAAUUUAUACAGGAUUGAAGGGGUAUCCUACAUGUCUAGUCAGGUUAACAGAAGUGGAAGAUGGUCUAGUAUUAUAAUGAUGUACGAAUGAUACUCUUUGAUAAGUUUAACAUGUCGAAGUGUAAAAUGUUCUGUGGAUUCAUAUGACGAUAAUGCCAGUGUUGAUCUGUAUGAUUUAAUUAAACACAGAUACUGAUACCUUCAGAUAUGCCUGUGAAAUCUUCAGUGUCACCAUUCAGGUAUGGUUCAAGAUCAGUGUCUGCAACUUGCACAUAUUAGUAUAGCGGAGCCUACUGAAUCAAUUUGAUACAUAUCAGCUCUUAUUGUAGGACACAAUGUAGAGAGCAGCAAGUCCUGUCUAGCCGUUCAUGUAAAUGUGAUUCAGAAACUCUGAAAAUAUAUAAACAUUACGCUGUUAUAAUUUUCAAAAUACUGUGUCUUGUAGUGUAUCAAUACUGUUUUGUCUCAGUUUAUAGCAUAGUAUGUUCACAAAUCAAACUUAAGAUCAUAGUGAUCAGUAUUAUUAAAAUCAUUAAUUAUUUGUAUGGUGACAAAAUUCAAUUUCAUGCAAUAUCACAGUAAAACGUUUGAUAAUU